UCCCUGGAGGUCCAGUGGUUAAGACUCUGUGCUUCCAACGUAGGGGAUGUGGGUUAGAUCCCUGGCCAGGGAA
rnacentral:tRNA from 1 species